UACGGGAGGCAGCAGUGGGGAAUAUUGCACAAUGGGCGCAAGCCUGAUGCAGCCAUGCCGCGUGUAUGAAAAAGGCCUUCGGGUUGUAAAGUACUUUCAGUCGUGAGGAAGGUGUUAAGGUUAAUAACCUUAGCAAUUGACGUUAGCGACAGAAGAGGCACCGGCUAACUCCGUGCCAGCAGCCGCGGUAAUACGGAGGGUGCGAGCGUUAAUCGGAAUUACUGGGCGUAAAGGGCACGCAGGCGGUUAAUUAAGUUGGAUGUGAAAUCCCCGGGCUUAACCUGGGAAUGGCAUUCAAGACUGGUUAGCUAGAGUCUUGUAGAGGGGGUAGAAUUCCAUGUGUAGCGGUGAAAUGCGUAGAGAUGUGGAGGAAUACCGGUGGCGAAGGCGGCCCCUGGACAAAGACUGACGCUCAUGUGCGAAAGCGUGGGGAGCAAACAGGGAUUAGAUACCCGU
rnacentral:rRNA from 1 species